CUGUGGCAGGCUCGCGGCAGGGGGCGGGCUCGGCGCGAGGCGGGGACUCGGGCCGGCGCGGUGUGUGGGGGGCGGUGAGGGGGUCUCUGGCCCGAGCCCCGCUCGCCCGGCCCCCCUCGGACAGGGCUGGCCGCAGCGGAGAGGCGCUGAGGCGCUUUGUCUGUGCCCCGGUGACCUCCCGCCUUUGCCCGUCUCGCUUCCUCCGGCCGGCCUCUGCGUGUUCACGCCGGGGUUUCUUCAACGCCUGCCCGAGGGAAAACCAGUGGCCUGGAUGGAGCUGCUGGGGGCGUCCCCCCCACAGCCCUCUUGGCAAGCGGGGGGCGAGUUUGGCGGGGUGGGGGAGCAGAGAGAGGCUAAGAGGCUGCAUGUCCAGUAGCCUGCCUCCCGCACACAUGCGCAGUGGAUGGAUGCUUGGCUGGGCAGUUAUGGGGGGAAAUGCCGCUUGUCUCUGUAUAAAGCGGUGGUUCUCAACCAGGGGGCCGGUGUCCCUUGGGGGGCCACGAGCAAGUUUCAGGGGAUCUGCCAAGCAGGGCCGGCAUUAGACUUGCUCAGCCACGGGCAGAAAGCUGAAGCCCAACCGGAACCCCGGGGCCCCGAGCCCCGCCAUCCAGGGCUGAAGCCAAAGCAAUUUAGCUUUGUGGGUCCCCUGUGCCAUGGGGCCCAUGGCAUUUGCACUGCUUGCUACCCACUAAGGGAUGCCCUGGCUUUUGUAUGCAGAAAAACAGUUGUCGUGGCACAAGUGGGCCAUGGAGGUUUUAUGGCAUUUUGUGGGGGCUCAGAAAGAACAAGGUUGAGAGACCUCCUGGUCUAAAGGACAGAGACUGAGUCUGUUGUGGCAGCCUUUUUUAGAAUAAUCUGGGAGAUUUUCCGUUUGUUCAGUAAAUGUUCUUUGGGAUUCGCUGAGCAAACUUGAGAGAGUGAAGCCCAAAUGAUGAUUUCUGGAUUAUAACUCAUCUAAAAAGAGGCCCUGGAUAAAGCUCCUCCUCAACCAUAACUACAGCAGCACUGCCUAUGUUCAUCAAACCAUAGAAAUGUGGUACUGGAAGGGACCUCAAAGUCAUCAAAUCCAGCCCUCUGUGUUGAGGCAGCACCAAGUAAACCUGACAGAUUUAUGUCUAACCUCUUCUUAGAAAUCUCCAGUGAUGGGGAUUCCCCAACCUCCCUUGGAAGUCUAUUGCAGAACUUGACUAUUCUUAGGGUAUGUCUACACUAUGGGAUUAAUCCGAAUUUACAGAAUUCUAAUUUUGGAAACAGAU